GAUGAACGCUAGCUACAGGCUUAACACAUGCAAGUCGAGGGGCAGCAUGGUCUUAGCUUGCUAAGGCCGAUGGCGACCGGCGCACGGGUGAGUAACGCGUAUCCAACCUGCCUUACACUCUUGGACAGCCUUCUGAAAAGGGGAGAUUAAUACAAGAUGUUAUCAUGAGUAAGCAUUUUCGCAUGAUUAAAGGUUUACCGGUGUAAGAUGGGGAUGCGUUCCAUUAGAUAGUAGGCGGGGUAACGGCCACCUAGUCUUCGAUGGAUAGGGGUUCUGAGAGGAAGGUCCCCACAAUUGGAACUGAGACACGGUCCAAACUACCCUACGGGAGGCAGCAGUGAGGAAUAUGUCAAUGGCGGCUAGCCUGAACCAAGCCAA
rnacentral:rRNA from 1 species